rnacentral:rRNA from 1 species
UGAGCAAUCUGCCCUUCUCAUCGGAAUAAGCGUUGGAAACGACGUCUAAUGCCGAAUACGACCUCCUUUCGCAUGAUCGGAGGUGGAAAGCUCCGGCGGAGAAGGAUGAGCUCGCGGCCUAUCAGCUAGUUGGUGUGGGUAACGGCCCACCAAGGCGACGAUCAUUAGCUGGUCUGAGAGGACGAUCAGCCACACUGGGACUGAGACACCGGCCCAGACUCCG